CGAGGCUCCCGUGGAAGCGGAGAGCCGGAGUGCAGCAUGGGGAGACGGAGCACCGGGAUCAGCAGCGCAGCUAUCCGUCAUCUGUUGGAUCUAAAACGCUUGAUUGUGCCGACAUCCUGGAUCUUCUGUGAGGGCAAGGACCUGCGCUCCUCAUCCGCGUCGUCCCCGAAGGUCUCGGUUUCAGGAGGCUCCCUCUCAACACGAAGGAAGAAAAGACAACAACAAGGCGGUGAGGGCUGCAGCUAAUGGAGAGGCUGUAAUUGUGAAUGGAGGCAUUCAUCUGGAGACAUCGUCCGUGAAUUGCGCUGCACAAUACCCAGCGCCGGGCUGCUCAGAUCACCAAGCAGUCAACAAGCACGCGUGCACACACGCACACGCGCACACAUAUAAACAUGCUGAACCCUCAGAUCACUGGUGCUCAGAGGAGCAACGUAAUCACACUUCCGCAGAGAGAAAGACAUCGAAAAGGGGAGGAGAGAAGGAGAGGCUGAAGAGGGGGGAGGAAGGGAAGAAGAGAGGAGAAAUUAUACAAGGAGAUAGGAGGAGAGGAAGGGGGAGGAGGAAAACGGAAUGGUGAAAUUGAUGUUUCCUACCAUUUGAUUUGGGCCACAGAGCCCAGGAGGCAGAUCAGAUAGAGCUACAUGCACACACAGAAUCAGCACAUGCAAAGAAACAAGGAUGCAUGCACACCAUCCCUCUUCCAUAGAGCCCAUACAUGAAAGACACGCAUGCACAGACUCAUAUACAGAGGCAUACAUUUAAAGCCAUAAAUCUGUACAAAUAUUAUGUAAAUAACCUGUAGAAGCUCACAGAACCAUCUCACAAACCCCAUAAUUUCUUCUACCUGCUUGAACAUUUAAACACAAACACACAAAUGCACACACACAUAUUUUUUAAAGAAGACACAACAAAGCCUAUAGUAUGGAAGGAAAAAAAAAGCCCUCAUCCCGGUGAGGCGAGACGAGACGAGGCACCUGUCAGCUCGGUGGUUCCUGCUACUACAGAGAAACAUCAAGAAACAACAACUCAAUUAAGCACACCAUCCCUGUUCAAUUACUGCCACAUAAUCACAGCAAUUUACCUUCACUUGCUGCACAGCCACCAAACAAACACACACAGAGGCACAGGCGCACAUACAGAGGCGGUUUCCCCUCACAAACGCCAGCAGAGACACAGCCGCAUCACAAAGACUGACCAGACUGGCUUCAUUCUACACAUCAUUAAUGUGAAGCUCAUCUGGAGGCAUCCGCAGGCUAACCAGCAUCAAACAGACACGGAGGACGACGGCAGAGAACAAUUUAAGUGAAAUGCUUAUUCACUAAAUAUGUGAUGAACAGCAACAGCAGUUCCCAACAUGUCCAUUACAGUACUGCCACCACUAUAAAUAGCACAGCUUCUGUCUAGCA